AUCGCUUCUCAGCCUUUUGGCUAAGAUCAAGUGUAGUCCUUCAAGAUCCCAUAUAAUGAAUUUGUAAAUUAUGGAUGUUUUGAACAUGAAACCAUAGUUUAACCUAUUCUUGUGGGCACUUGUCCUGUUAACUCUGCUUUUCUUUUCUAAACAGCUAUCAAAAUCUUUGUUGUAAAAUGAGAAUUUUC